ensembl:lncRNA
CGACACACAGACCCCACCUUCAAGGCACCGAGUUUGAAGGUAGACCUUGAAAUACAUCCACAGUCCUAUGGGUCCUUGGAGUUCCUGUCUGUAUGUUUCUGGGGCGUCUGCCGCACUGCCAGAGUGGACCUGACCCAGUCAGUGACCGACCAUCUGCUGCCCUCUCCCUCCCCAGUCUGCAGAGGACACUCAGCAACAACCCCAGCCUCCGGUCUGCAGAGGACACUCAGCAACAACCCCAGCAUCCAGUCUGCAUAGGACACUCAGGAACAACCCCAGCAUCCAGUCUGCAUAGGACACUCAGCAACAACCCCAGCCUCCAGUCUGCAUAGGACACUCAGCAACAACCCCAGCCUCCAGUCUGCAUAGGACACUCAGGAACAACCCCAGCCUCCAGUCUGCAUAGGACAUUCAGCAACAACCCCAGCC